rnacentral:rRNA from 1 species
GACGAACGCUGGCGGCGUGCUUAACACAUGCAAGUCGAGCGGUAAGGCCCGUUUCGGGGGUACACGAGCGGCGAACGGGUGAGUAACACGUGGGUGACCUGCCCUCAGCUCUGGGAUAAGCCUGGGAAACCGGGUCUAAUACUGGAUAUGACUCCAUGACGCAUGUUGUGGGGUGGAAAGCCUUGUGCGGCUGAGGAUGGGCCCGCGGCCUAGUCAGCUUGUUGGUGGGGUGANGGCCUACCAAGGCGACGACGGGUAGCCGGCCUGAGAGGGCGACCGGCCACACUGGGACUGAGACACGGCCCAGACUCCUACGGGAGGCAGCAGGUGGGGAAUCUUGCGCAAUGGGCGAAAGCCUGACGCAGCGACGCCGCGUGA